UGGGGAAUAUUGGACAAUGGGCGAAAGCCUGAUCCAGCCAUGCCGCGUGUGUGAAGAAGGUCUUCGGAUUGUAAAGCACUUUAAGUUGGGAGGAAGGGCAGUAAGCGAAUACCUUGCUGUUUUGACGUUACCGACAGAAUAAGCACCGGCUAACUCUGUGCCAGCAGCCGCGGUAAUACAGAGGGGGCAAGCGUUAAUCGGAAUUACUGGGCGUAAAGCGCGCGUAGGUGGUUCGUUAAGUUGAAUGUGAAAGCCCCGGGCUCAACCUGGGAACUGCAUCCAAAACUGGCGAGCUAGAGUAGGGCAGAGGGUGGUGGAAUUUCCUGUGUAGCGGUGAAAUGCGUAGAUAUAGGAAGGAACACCAGUGGCGAAAGCGACCACCUGGGCUCAUACUGACACUGAGGUGCGAAAGCGUGGGGAGCAAACAGG
rnacentral:rRNA from 1 species